CCUACGGGAGGCAGCAGUAGGGAAUUUUCCACAAUGGGCGAAAGCCUGAUGGAGCAACGCCGCGUGCAGGAUGAAUGCCUUAGGGUUGUAAACUGCUUUUAUAUGUGACGAUUAUGACGGUAGCAUAUGAAUAAGGAUCGGCUAACUCCGUGCCAGCAGCCGCGGUCAUACGGAGGAUCCAAGCGUUAUCCGGAAUUACUGGGCGUAAAGAGUUGCGUAGGUGGCAUAGUAAGUAGAUAGUGAAAGCGUGUGGCUCAACCAUACAUCCAUUAUCUAAACUGCUAAGCUAGAGUAUGAGAGAGGUAGAUGGAAUUCCCAGUGUAGGAGUGAAAUCCGUAGAUAUUGGGAGGAACACCGAUGGCGUAGGCAGUCUACUGGCUCAUUACUGACACUAAGGCACGAAAGCGUGGGGAGCAAACGGGAUUAGAUACCCUAGUAGU
rnacentral:rRNA from 1 species